rnacentral:rRNA from 1 species
AUACGGAGGAUGCAAGCGUUAUCCGGAUUUAUUGGGUUUAAAGGGUGCGUAGGCGGUUUGCUAAGCGGGAGGUGAAAUGCCGGCGCUCAACGUCGGAAGUGCCUCCCGAACUGGUGGACUGGAAUGACUCUGCCGUGGGAGGAAUGUGUAGUGUAGCGGUGAAAUGCUUAGAGAUUACACAGAACACCGAUUGCGAAGGCAUCUCACGAAGGGUUGAUUGACGCUGAGACACGAAAGCGUGGGGAUCAAACAGGAUUAGAUACCCUGGUAGUCCACGCAGUAAACGAUGAUGGCUAACCGCUGGAUCUAGCGGUUCAGUGGCCAAGCGAAAGCGAUAAGCCAUCCACCUGGGGAGUACGACCGCAAGGUUGAAACUCAAAUGAAUUGACGGGG